UACGUAGGGGGCAAGCGUUGUCCGGAAUCAUUGGGCGUAAAGCGCGUGUAGGCGGUCCGGUAAGUCCGCUGUGAAAGUCGGGGGCUCAACCCUCGGAUGCCGGUGGAUACUGUCGGACUUGAGUACGGAAGAGGCGAGUGGAAUUCCUGGUGUAGCGGUGAAAUGCGCAGAUAUCAGGAGGAACACCAAUUGCGAAGGCAGCUCGCUGGGACGUUACUGACGCUGAGACGCGAAAGCGUGGGGAGCAAACAGG
rnacentral:rRNA from 1 species